GAUGAACGCUGGCGGCGUGCCUAACACAUGCAAGUCGAGCGAACGGACGAGAAGCUUGUUUCUCUGCUGUUAGCGGCGGACGGGUGAGUAACACGUGGAUAACCUACUUAUAAGACUGGGAUAACUUCGGGAAACCGGUUCUAAUACUGGCUGAUAUUUUCAACCGCAUGGUUCAAAAGUGCAUGACGGUCUUGCUGUUACUUAUAGAUGGAUCCGCGCUGCAUUAGCUAGUUGGUAAGGUAACGGCUUACCAAGGCAACGAUGCAUAGCCGACCUGAGAGGGUGAUCGGCCACACUGGAACUGAGACACGGUCCAGACUCCUACGGGAGGCAGCAGUGGGGAAUCUUCCGCAAUGGGCGAAAGCCUGACGGAGCAACGCCGCGUGAGUGAUGAAGGUCUUCGGAUCGUAAAACUCUUUUAUUAGGAAAGAACAUAUGUGUAAGUAACUGUGCACAUCUUGACGGUACCUAAUCAGAAAGCCACGGCUAACUACGUG
rnacentral:rRNA from 1 species